AGUGAACGCUGGCGGUAGGCCUAACACAUGCAAGUCGAACGGCAGCACAGUAAGAGCUUGCUCUUACGGGUGGCGAGUGGCGGACGGGUGAGGAAUAUAUCGGAAUCUACUUUUUCGUGGGGGAUAACGUAGGGAAACUUACGCUAAUACCGCAUACGACCUACGGGUGAAAGCAGGGGAUCUUCGGACCUUGCGCGAUUGAAUGAGCCGAUGUCGGAUUAGCUAGUUGGCGGGGUAAAGGCCCACCAAGGCGACGAUCCGUAGCUGGUCUGAGAGGAUGAUCAGCCACACUGGAACUGAGACACGGUCCAGACUCCUACGGGAGGCAGCAGUGGGGAAUAUUGGACAAUGGGCGCAAGCCUGAUCCAGCCAUACCGCGUGGGUGAAGAAGGCCUUCGGGUUGUAAAGCCCUUUUGUUGGGAAAGAAAAGCAGUAGGUUAAUACCCCGCUGUUCUGACGGUACCCAAAGAAUAAGCACCGGCUAACUUCGUG
rnacentral:rRNA from 1 species